GCCCGGUUAGCUCAGUUGGUAGAGCAUCAGACUUUUAAUCGGAGGGCCAUGGGUUCGAGUCCCAUAUCAGGCU
rnacentral:tRNA from 1 species